GGGGAUGUAGCUCAGCUGGGAGAGCACCUGCCUUGCAAGCAGAAGGCCGGCGGAUCGUACCCGCCCAUCUCCACCA
rnacentral:tRNA from 1 species